rnacentral:rRNA from 1 species
UACGGGGGGAGCAAGCGUUGUUCGGAUUUACUGGGCGUAAAGGGCGUGCAGGUGGUCUGUUAAGUCUGGCGUGAAAGCUCCUGGCUAAACCGGGAGAGGUCGUUGGAUACUGGCGGACUAGAGGACGGUAGAGGCGUGUGGAAUUCCGGGUGUAGUGGUGAAAUGCGUAGAGAUCCGGAGGAACACCAGUGGCGAAGGCGACACGCUGGGCCGUACCUGACACUGAUACGCGACAGCAUGGGGAGCGAACGGG